rnacentral:rRNA from 1 species
CCUACGGGCGGCAGCAGUACGGAAUAUUGCUCAAUGGGGGAAACCCUGAAGCAGCAACGCCGCGUGGAGGAUGAAGGUUUUCGGAUUGUAAACUCCUUUUGUUAGAGAAGAUAAUGACGGUAUCUAACGAAUAAGCACCGGCUAACUCCGUGCCAGCAGCCGCGGUAAUACGGAGGGUGCAAGCGUUACUCGGAAUCACUGGGCGUAAAGAGCGCGUAGGCGGGAUAGCAAGUCAGAUGUGAAAUCCUAUGGCUUAACCAUAGAACUGCAUUUGAAACUGUUAUUCUAGAGUGUGGGAGAGGUAGGUGGAAUUCUUGGUGUAGGGGUAAAAUCCGUAGAGAUCAAGAGGAAUACUCAUUGCGAAGGCGACCUGCUAGAACGUAACUGACGCUGAUGCGCGAAGGCGUGGGGAGCAAACAGGAUUAGAUACCCGUGUAGUC